UACGGAGGGGGCCAGCGUUGUUCGGAAUUAUUGGGCGUAAAGGGCGCGUAGGCGGCUUGGUAAGUCCGUUGUGAAAUCCCUCGGCUCAACCGAGGAACUGCGACGGAUACUGCUUGGCUUGAGUCCCGGAGAGGGUAGCGGAAUUCCCAGUGUAGCGGUGAAAUGCGUAGAUAUUGGGAGGAACAUCGGUGGCGAAGGCGGCUACCUGGACGGGUACUGACGCUGAUGCGCGAAAGCUAGGGGAGCAAACAGG
rnacentral:rRNA from 1 species